rnacentral:rRNA from 1 species
UAAUACGAAGGGGGCUAGCGUUGUUCGGAAUUACUGGGCGUAAAGCGCACGUAGGCGGUUUUCCAAGUUGGAGGUGAAAUCCCUGGGCUUAACCCAGGAACUGCCCCCAAAACUGGAUGACUCGAGUCCGAGAGAGGUGAGUGGAAUUUCCAGUGUAGAGGUGAAAUUCGUAGAUAUUGGAAAGAACACCAGUGGCGAAGGCGGCUCACUGGCUCGGUACUGACGCUGAGGUGCGACAGCGUGGGGAGCAAACAGGAUUAGAUACCCUGGUAGUCCACGCCGUAAACGAUGGGUGCUAGUUGUCAGGCAGCUUGCUGUUUGGUGACGCAGCUAACGCAUUAAGCACCCCGCCUGGGGAGUACGGUCGCAAGAUUA